GCCCUUAGAGUUUGAUCAUGGCUCAGAUUAAACGCUGGCGGCAUGCCUAACACAUGCAAGUCGAACGGUAACAGGCCUUUCGGGGUGCUGACGAGUGGCGGACGGGUGAGUAACGCGUGGGAAUCUGCCUGUGAGUGGGGGAUAGCCCGGAGAAAUCCGGAUUAAUACCGCAUAAGACCUUAGGGUGAAAGCGGGGGCUCGUAAGACCUCGCGCUGACAGAUGAGCCCGCGUCCGAUUAGCUGGUUGGUGGGGUAAAGGCCUACCAAGGCGACGAUCGGUAGCUGGUUUGAGAGGAUGAUCAGCCACACCGGGACUGAGACACGGCCCGGACUCCUACGGGAGGCAGCAGUGGGGAAUAUUGGACAAUGGGCGCAAGCCUGAUCCAGCAAUGCCGCGUGUGUGAAGAAGGCCUGCGGGUUGUAAAGCACUUUUAUUGGGGAGGAGAAGCGGAGCACGAACACUGCUCUGUGGAGACGUUACCUGAUGAAUAAGCACUGGCUAACUCCGUGCCAGCAGCCGCGGUAAUACGGAGGGUGCGAGCGUUAAUCGGAAUUACUGGGCGUAAAGGGCAUGUAGGCGGCCCGCUAAGUCUGAUGUGAAAGCCCUGGGCUUAACCUGGGAACGGCAUGAGAUACUGGCGAGCUGGAGUGCGACAGAAGGUAGUGGAAUUCCCGGUGUAGCGGUGAAAUGCAUA
rnacentral:rRNA from 1 species